UGCUCUUUUGAUGCUAUUCUUCAUCCAAAUUAGACACUUUUUGGAAAAAAAAAACAAAAACCUUUUUUGAAGGCGAUUUCUUGCAGAAGAGACAUAUGGCGCCCAAAAUAGUCCAGCAGGCUGUUCCCAUCUGCAGCUUCUUGCUACCCAGGUGGAAAGGGAGACUGCACCCCCUGGCAGAGUUUGGCUCCAGGCCAGCGGUUGGACAUGCUUCACGUGGUGUUCAGAUCCUUUCAGUGGAAUCGGUUCUCCCUCCUAACCCGUGAUGAAGUGCUCCUGUCUGUUCCCCGCACGUCAGUCACAGCACUGCCUUCAGCUCCUUUGUCUUUGCCAAGAAUACUGAGAAACUGUAAGGG
rnacentral:lncRNA from 1 species